rnacentral:rRNA from 1 species
GAUGAACGCUGGCGGCGUGCCUAAUACAUGCAAGUCGAACGAGGUGCUUGAGUAGCAAUACAAGAGUAUCCUAGUGGCGAACGGGUGAGUAACGCGUGGACGACCUGCCCCAAAGUGUGGGAUAACAGUCCGAAAGGAUUGCUAAUACCUCAUGUGGUUAUCGGAUUUAGAAACUGAUAACUAAAGCAGCAAUGCGUCUUUGGGAGGGAUCUACGUCCCAUCAGCUAGUUGGUGAGGUAACGGCUCACCAAGGCGACGACGGGUAGGGGACCUGAGAGGGUGGCCCCCCACAAUGGAACUGAAACACGGUCCAUACACCUACGGGUGGCAGCAGUAGGGAAUAUUGCUCAAUGGGCGAAAGCCUGAAGCAGCAACGCCGCGUGUGCGAUGAAGGCC